UGACAUAUUUUGGCUUCCUCUACGGUUCUUCCUUGUGAAACUGGACUUUCAAGUCGGAGCAGCUAGCAGAGUGAGUUUGCCAGAAGUUGGGCUACAGGAAUGUCCACCCGUCGUGUGGCGACAGGACAGCUGAAAGAGGCAGAGGGUCCCCCGGACAAGCUAUUACAGGCAGAGUGAAGGGCCACGAGGCCUCCGACUACCUUCCCUCGAGUGGGAGUGUGUGAGUGUGAGGUUCGCUCCGUGACAGAGAAACUCGCAGCUGAGGCGGAGACGUGUGUGAUGUGUAGCGGCUGGGGUGGAGAGUUCGCUCAGAUGGAGGAAAAUAAGAACCUGAGAUGAAGAUCAAGAUAUUUGAUUAUAAAUAAACACCAAGAGAAGAUCAGAUGACUACAAGGAUUCUCAGAAAGAAAAUGGCCUUUCUGUCACUUCAGACAUUUCUUAUUUGGUUUAGCAACACCAUCAUAACUCAAGUUUUGUUCAUUUCUUGCUAAAGUUAUAUUUUUUCUAAGAGUAAAAAUACAUUUUGUAUGUAUAUGCAAUCUCGUGUAGUUAUAUAAAUGUUUUUAAAUAGUAAUAAUAAUAAUAAAUAAAUUAGUGCUUUUUUAAGCAUUAUGGUAGAAGUAAUAACUAUUGUCAUUUUAACAUUACACAUUCAUCACAUAGCAGAUAACACACCACCGGUAGGCUGAAUACAUUUGCAGGAGCAAUCUACGACGGGAUAGAUGAAAGCAUUUCACAUGUUAGAAUGGCCUAGUCAAAGUCUAGACCUAGGUCCAAUUGAGAAUCCUUCAAAAGACUUUAAUACUUCUGUUCAUGAUACAUUCUUGAUCCAAUCUGACUGGGGAUCAACUAUUUUUCCAAGAAGACAUUUUAAAAAUGAUGUUUCAUUUUUCUUCCACAACUUGAUUAUUCUCUGUAUGGUGAUUACACGAAAUCUCAAUCAAACAUAUUGCAGCUUGUGAUGGCAAUGUGAUCAAAUGUGAAGUCACAUUUUAUCACAAGGUGUGUGACUUUUUUCACAACACAUUAUGCAGAACAAAUAAGCUGUUAACUUAUAGCUUAUUUGCAACAUCUCAACAGAACCACACUUAAAAAAAAAAUCUCCAAAAAUGUUAUGUAUUCUAAAAUUGAUGGUAUACAUCAAAUUAGUUUUUAACAUUAUAGAUGUGUUAUUGACAAAAGACAUCGAUUUGUGUUGCCCCUGUCUGUUAGAAUCAAAUCCUGCUGACUUCAACCACAAACAGUCCCAGCUUGCAACCAAAAUCAGAGCGCUGCCGCUGUUGGUGAGCUGUCAUCAUCUUCACAAUCAGCCUCUGUCCCACCGGCCCACGUCUGACUGACCUAAAGCCUCACCUCUCCCUCUCUUUCACCGACUGUGAGUGUGUUGA